AACGCAACUUGCGCCUCUCACGAGGCAUGUCUGUUUGAGUGCCGUAAUCCUCUGCAGCAAUGCGAUUUGACUCUUGUCUUUGUUGACCGAGUUUAAAGGGAGCUAGAGGAUGGUCAGUUUAGACUAGCCCGAGUGCUAAGCAUUCUUGGGUCUAGCGCUGGAUUGUUCAUUUCAUCUAUUCUUUAUUUUGGCCUCAAAUCAGGCAAGACUACCCGCUGAACUUAA
rnacentral:misc_RNA from 1 species